UACAGAGGUGGCAAGCGUUGUUCGGAUUUACUGGGCGUAAAGGGUCCGUAGGCGGUUCGGUUAGUCAAAUGUGAAAGCCCACAGCUCAACUGUGGAACUGCAUUUGAAACUGCCGAGCUAGAGUGUGAGAGGGGUUAAGGGAAGUUCCCGGUGUAAGGGGUGAAAAUCUGCAGAGAUCGGGAGGAACACCAGUCGCGAAGGCGCUUAACUGGCUCACUACUGACGCUCAGGGACGAAAGCGUGGGGGAGCAAACAGG
rnacentral:rRNA from 1 species